UACGUAGGGUGCGAGCGUUGUCCGGAAUUAUUGGGCGUAAAGGGCUCGUAGGCGGUCUGUUGCGUCAGGAGUGAAAACUCGGGGCUUAACCCCGAGCCUGCUUCUGAUACGGGCAGACUAGAGGUAUGCAGGGGAGAACGGAAUUCCUGGUGUAGCGGUGAAAUGCGCAGAUAUUCGGAAGAACACCAGUGGCGAAGGCGGCUCACUGGUCCGGUACUGACGCUGAGGUGCGAAAGCGUGGGGAGCAAACAGG
rnacentral:rRNA from 1 species